rnacentral:rRNA from 1 species
AGGAAAAGACAUCAACCGAGAUUCCGUUAGUAGUGGCGAGCGAAACCGGAACAGGCUAAACCGAGUACGUGUGAUAUCCGGCAGGAGUUGCGUAUUCGGGGUUGUGGGACUUUUCAGGCUGAUCUGCCGAUCAGCCGGCGUUACAGGAUUGUAUAGACGAACCGCAUUGAAAGGCGGGUCAUAGAGGGUGCCAACCCCGUAG